CAGCAAGUGGUGGCCUCCAGAACUGGUUGUGACAGCCAGGUACAUCCUCCAGGAAGGGGGGGAUGUCUGCAGCAACCGCUGAUUCUCUGCCUGUGGAAACGCUGGCUCCAAUUCACAGAUUUUCCUAUUCUAUUCAAAAUAGACCAUGACAACAAUAAAGACCUCAACAUGUUAUCCACAGCCAUGUAAAUCCUGCAAAGUAAGCUCUCACACAGUAUUGGAGUGAAACUAGAAACCACCAGCAGAAACA
rnacentral:lncRNA from 1 species